ACAACCUUGGAACUGAAAGAAGUCUUCAGCCCAAGGGAAGAGAUUUUCAUGAAAGAUGGUCUCUUGUAUGUGUGGACAUAGCCAGAAAUGUGUGUCAAUAAUCCCAACGCUGAUAUGUGUACCCACUGGAACGAAUGGUUAGCAGAAAGCAGAGGACAUUGUCUCGCCGUUGGAGUAAGAGUCAAGUCCAGAAUUGUCUGUGCCUUACCCUUUGAAGAUGGAGAGGCUCCAAGCCUGAUGAGCAUUGAUGUACACAUAUCGAAAUGCCAGAUAUGUGUCACUUCAUCGGUGACCACACUCCUGUUUGUUGCGUUGCGUUGUUGCUGAGAUGGCCUGGAAGUAAUAGUUCAAUUGUGUUAGGCACUUUUCUCAUUACUUCUUUGAUUUGUCUCUCACCGUGAUGGCACGUCCGUGGUUUGCCUCCUAUGUAAUCCUAGAUUCUGUCAAUGGAGAUCAGCUGUCACACCAGUCAAAGAGCCUCCGAGUAGCCUGGAGUCCAGAUCUUGGUUUCUAGUGCCGUUCUCAAUUACCCACUCUGACCGUGCUGCUUUGGAGUCUGGACAUGGGGCCUUCAAACGUUCCUCCAGGAUCCUCCAUAUGCAUUGAGGCAUCAUGAGGAUGCUGACCAACUCUGACGGUGCCGUAGAGUCCUACUAGAGUCACUGGUAGCAUCAUGGUCUUCAGGUCUGCAAAAGGAAGAAGAGAUGCUAAAAGAGGACUAUCCAUUGUGAAGAGCUACACAGUGUCCCUGCUCCUAUGAGCCUCAAACUGCAGAGCCACGCCCCAUUCUAGAGACCCCGGGAUACUGACACAGAACUUCACAAUGAUCUAAUCUUUCUGCCUUUGAUUUGCAACAAACUGCACUUCCCGUCUCGAGAAACAGAAACUUCAGCAGGGCGUCCCCUCUGUGGAAUGUACAGAAGAUAAGUCAAAACAUAACCUUACCAAAGGCAUAGGUAAUUUUGAACUUGUAAUUAAUGGUGUAGGAUUGAAGCAAUGUUUAUUAACAUAGCCACUGACAGAAA
rnacentral:lncRNA from 1 species